rnacentral:rRNA from 1 species
CCUACGGGGGGCUGCAGUGAGGAAUAUUGGUCAAUGGACGAGAGUCUGAACCAGCCAAGUAGCGUGAAGGAUGACUGCCCUAUGGGUUGUAAACUUCUUUUAUAUGGGAAUAAAAUGUUCCACGUGUGGGAUUUUGUAUGUACCAUAUGAAUAAGGAUCGGCUAACUCCGUGCCAGCAGCCGCGGUAAUACGGAGGAUCCGAGCGUUAUCAGGAUUUAUUGGGUUUAAAGGGAGCGUAGGUGGAUUGUUAAGUCAGUUGUGAAAGUUUGCGGCUCAACCGUAAAAUUGCAGUUGAAACUGGCAGUCUUGAGUACAGUAGAGGUGGGCGGAAUUCGUGGUGUAGCGGUGAAAUGCUUAGAUAUCACGAAGAACUCCGAUUGCGAAGGCAGUUCACUGGACUGCAACUGACACUGAGGCUCGAAAGUGUGGGUAUCAAACAGGAUUAGAUACCCGAGUAGUC